UAAAGCUACAAGGCCUUUACUAUUGUCUUAUGUGUUGUAUGUUACGUGUGCACACUUCUGUUUUGUGUUGUAUGUCUGUAUGUGCGUAUGUCCAUAUAUCAUAUAUGAGGAGCGCUCAUGAUUAUGGAUCUGAAUUUUUUUUUUUUAUUAUUCACAUGAUUUUAAUAGUUUAAUUUAUUUGGGUAAACAGCUGUUGAGGAUUGUUUUAAUAUAUGAACAAAUAGGAGGUUAACAGAUCUGUUUGUUUACUUUCACCUUUCCUUUUCAUUAUAUGUAAUAAUUCUGUUCAGGAUAAUGUAAAUUGUUCUAAAAAUUGUUUUCUUAGUACCUGUUGAAAUGUUACAUUUUUUUUUUUUUUAGCAUCAUUGUCAGAAUUCUUAUUUUCAUCCCAGUGCCGGUGAAGACAAAGAUGAAACCAAACUACAACUUCUUCGAGAGUUAUCACAACAGACUGUAUAAACUGAUACAUCAAUGAUUAAUAACUCAACAAGUAAUGCUCAAUCAAUGAGUCGAUUUAUUUUGGGAGGAUAUGGACAUAUUGAUAGAUUCCUCCGCUUUGAACUGCUUACAGAACUUGCCUGGACUGUGUAUCACUUGUAUGCACUGUGAUCUAUCUGUUGAUGCAGCGAAUUAUGGUAGUGCUAGUGUAUCUUUGCUGAUGUGUCACCAGUGAUGCAAUUUUUCCUAGGAGCCGUCCAUUGACUCGGUGUCAUGGCAUUUCUGUAUCCUCCUCCCUUCUACUAGUGAUGGUCUAAUUUUGGGGGCCAACAGAGGUGAGGCAAA
rnacentral:lncRNA from 1 species